rnacentral:rRNA from 1 species
UACGGGGGGGGCAAGCGUUGUUCGGAAUUACUGGGCGUAAAGGGCUCGUAGGCGGCCAACUAAGUCAGACGUGAAAUCCCCAGGCUCAACCUGGGAACUGCGUCUGAUACUGGAUGGCUUGAAUCCGGGAGAGGGAUGCAGAAUUCCAGGUGUAGCGGUGAAAUGCGUAGAUAUCUGGAGGAAUACCGGUGGCGAAGGCGGCAUCCUGGACCGGCAUUGACGCUGAGGAGCGAAAGCCAGGGGAGCAAACGGGG